rnacentral:rRNA from 1 species
GACGUAGGGCGCGAGCGUUGUCCGGAUUUAUUGGGCGUAAAGAGCUCGUAGGCGGCUUGUUGCGUCGACUGUGAAAACCCGCAGCUUAACUGCGGGCCUGCAGUUGAUACGGGCAGGCUAGAGUUCGGUAGGGGAGACUGGAAUUCCUGGUGUAGCGGUGAAAUGCGCAGAUAUCAGGAGGAACACCAAUAGCGAAGGCAGCUCGCUGGGACGGUAUUGACGCUAAGGCGCGAAAGCGUGGGGAGCAAACAGG